AUGUGCAGUGGGUACCUGCAGCCCCGGCCCUGGCCUGUGGAUGGCGCUGUGGCUGGAGCCCUCUUCAGUGGGAACUCUAGGCUGAGCAACAGGCAUUUCAUAUAGCUCUGUAGUACAGAGAAGGCCCACAAGUCACUUAGAGUUGCCUCAGUGUGCUUGUACCUCCUCAAGUAAGGUUUGGUAGUAAAAAUCCUGAUGGCGCAGCACUGUUUCUUCGUCGUUACACGGCUGAAGGAAAAAAACAAAACAAAAAACAAACUCAUCCUUUGGCAGGGGUUUCCCAUUGGAAGGAGACCCUUUCCGACUCUUACAAGCGAUUUGUUCCUGAGGAAACAAAAUUUCUCAAGUCACCACAGAAUUUCGCAGAACCCAAACACACGUUGCUGUAUACCGUGGUCACAAGUUUAGUUCUUAUUUCUACUAAUGGACACUGAAGAGAAGGAGUUGGAAGGAUAAGGAUGAGUGUGAGCACUGGAGGCAACAACCUGGAUCAACUCUAGCCAGGGAAAGAAGCAUCAUGUUACAGCCACCUCAUGAAUCAAAGAGGACUGAAUCAAGGCACUGCAGGCUACUGAGACCCAGCCCUUCCCAACAACUUGUGGUGUGUGAGGUGGCCUGAGCAGUCCUGGUGAAAAGAAAGCAAGAGUUGAGACCUUCAACAAAUGGGCACAGAGACACCAGCUCUUCAGGGUUGCCCCAUGACAAGCAAAGUCCUUGAUUGGAAUCUGACAUUGCUAGGGCUUGAGAACUGGUGCUUCUACUGCAGCCACAGCUGUGUCCCUUCCUCAGAGCUUCCGGCCUUUUAACUCCAGAG